GUGCCAGCCGCCGCGGUAAUACAGAGGGUGCAAGCGUUAAUCGGAAUUACUGGGCGUAAAGCGUGCGUAGGUGGUUCGUUAAGUCAGGUGUGAAAGCCCGGGGCUCAACCUCGGAACUGCAUUUGAUACUGUCGAGCUGGAGUGUGGUAGAGGAUAGUGGAAUUCCCGGUGUAGCGGUGAAAUGCGUAGAUAUCGGGAGGAACAUCAGUGGCGAAGGCGGCUAUCUGGACCAACACUGACACUGAGGCACGAAAGCGUGGGUAGCAAACAGGAUUAGAUACCCGUGUAGUCC
rnacentral:rRNA from 1 species